GUCGGGAAUAUUGCGCAAUGGAGGAAACUCUGACGCAGUGACGCCGCGUAUAGGAAGAAGGUUUUCGGAUUGUAAACUAUUGUCGUUAGGGAAGAUAAAAGACAGUACCUAAGGAGGAAGCUCCGGCUAACUACGUGCCAGCAGCCGCGGUAAUACGUAGGGAGCAAGCGUUAUCCGGAUUUAUUGGGUGUAAAGGGUGCGUAGACGGGAAAUUAAGUUAGUUGUGAAAUCCCUCGGCUCAACUGAGGAACUGCAACUAAAACUGAUUUUCUUGAGUGUUGGAGAGGAAAGUGGAAUUCCUAGUGUAGCGGUGAAAUGCGUAGAUAUUAGGAGGAACACCAGUGGCGAAGGCGACUUUCUAGACAAUAACUGACGUUGAGGCACGAAAGUGUGGGGAGCAAACAGGAUUAGAAACCCUAGUAGUCC
rnacentral:rRNA from 1 species